rnacentral:rRNA from 1 species
UGAAGGCUGAAAUUCGCCUUCAUGAAGCUGGAAUUGCUAGUAAUGGCAGGUCAGCAUACUGCCGUGAAUACGUUCCCGGGCCUUGUACACACCGCCCGUCACACCAUGAGAGUUGGAAAUACCCGAAGCCUGUGAGCUAACUUAAAGAGGCAGCAGUCGAAGGUAGAGCCAAUGAUUGGGGUGAAGUCGUAACAAGGUAUC